rnacentral:tRNA from 1 species
GCCGGCGUAGCUCAGUUGGUUAGAGCGCUUGAUUGUGGAUCAAGAGGUCCCCCGUUCAAUUCGGGGCGCUGGUACCA